rnacentral:rRNA from 1 species
UUGAAAGGGAAACGAUUGAAGUCAGUCGUACCUGUGGGUAAUCAGCCUUUUGGGUGUGANUUUGUGGAGUGUGAGGAGUUAAACGCCUUCAUGCCUGCAUAUUCGUGCACUUUGGGUGUAUUUACCCGUGUGGUAAGUUAACAUCAAUUUCGGUGGUCAUAAAAUGGCUGGAGGAAUGUAGCUUUGAUCUCGUAUUGAAGUGUUAUAGCCUUCGGUAGAUGUGAUAAUCGGGAUUGAGGAUUGCAACGGAUACCCUUCGGGGCUACCUGUCUGAUCUCUGAUCGUUGCUCUGGUGCCGAAAGCUUGCUUACGGUUAUCAAAGUCGAUGGUCAAUAGGUUAGAAUGGGUUAAAUUCGUUAAGGAUGUUGACGUA